ACAUUACUACUAGCUUGACAACUUGUUGUUGGAUGCAGAAACAGUCUUGUACGAAUACAGUGUCUGAGAUUCAAUCUGAGGUGUGUUGUAGCACCCUGAACAUUUAAAGGUGAUAUCUGACUGAGCUGACAUAGGCAACAUUUACCAUGAACACGCUGAGGAACACUGCCUUUAAAUGGGGCACUGUCAACAGAGGUCUACAACGUACCUCUGACUGAAUCCCUUCCUAUAUGUCCCUGUCAACAGAGGUCUACAACGUACCUCUGACUGAAUCCCUUCCUAUAUGUCCCUGUCAACAGAGGUCUACAACGUACCUCUGACUGAAUCCCUUCCUAUAGGUCCCUGUCAACAGAGGUCUACAACAUACCUCUGACUGAAUCCCUUCCUAUAUGUCCCUGUCAACAGAGGUCUACAACGUACCUCUGACUGAAUCCCUUCCUAUAUGUCCCUGUCAACAGAGGUCUACAACGUACCUCUGACUGAAUCCCUUCCUAUAUGUCCCUGUCAACAGAGGUCUACAACAUACCUCUGACUGAAUCCCUUCCUAUAUGUCCCUGUCAACAGAGGUCUACAACGUACCUCUGACUGAAUCCCUUCCUAUAUGUCCCUGUCAACAGAGGUCUACAACGUACCUCUGACUGAAUCCAGACCUAUAUGUCCCUGUCAACAGAGGUCUACAACGUACCUCUGACUGAAUCCCUUCCUAUAUGUCCCUGUCAACAGAGGUCUACAACGUACCUCUGACUGAAUCCAGACCUAUAUGUCCCUGUCAACAGAGGUCUACAACGUACCUCUGACUGAAUCCCUUCCUAUAUGUCCCUGUCAACAGAGGUCUACAACGUACCUCUGACUGAAUCCCUUCCUAUAUGUCCCUGUCAACAGAGGUCUACAACAUACCUCUGACUGAAUCCCUUCCUAUAUGUCCCUGUCAACAGAGGUCUACAACGUACCUCUGACUGAAUCCCUUCCUAUAUGUCCCUGUCAACAGAGGUCUACAACGUACCUCUGACUGAAUCCAGACCUAUAUGUCCCUGUCAGAGGUCUACAACGUACCUCUGACUGAAUCCAGACCUAUAUGUCCCUGUCAACAGAGGUCUACAACGUACCUCUGACUGAAUCCCUUCCUAUAUGUCCCUGUCAGAGGUCUACAACGUACCUCUGACUGAAUCCCUUCCUAUCUGUCCCUGUCAGAGGUCUACAACGUACCUCUGACUGAAUCCCUUCCUAUAUGUCCCUGUCAACAGAGGUCUACAACGUACCUCUGACUGAAUCCCUUCCUAUAUGUCCCUGUCAACAGAGGUCUACAACGUACCUCUGACUGAAUCCCUUCCUAUAUGUCCCUGUCAACAGAGGUCUACAACGUACCUCUGACUGAAUCCCUUCCUAUAUGUCCCUGUCAACAGAGGUCUACAACGUACCUCUGACUGAAUCCAGACCUAUAUGUCCCUGUCAACAGAGGUCUACAACGUACCUCUGACUGAAUCCCUUCCUAUAUGUCCCUGUCAGAGGUCUACAACGUACCUCUGACUGAAUCCCUUCCUAUAUGUCCCUGUCAACAGAGGUCUACAACGUACCUCUGACUGAAUCCCUUCCUAUAUGUCCCUGUCAGAGGUCUACAACAUACCUCUGACUGAAUCCCUUCCUAUAUGUCCCUGUCAACAGAGGUCUACAACGUACCUCUGACUGAAUCCCUUCCUAUAUGUCCCUGUCAACAGAGGUCUACAACGUACCUCUGACUGAAUCCAGACCUAUAUGUCCCUGUCAACAGAGGUCUACAACGUACCUCUGACUGAAUCCCUUCCUAUAUGUCCCUGUCAACAGAGGUCUACAACGUACCUCUGACUGAAUCCCUUCCUAUAUGUCCCUGUCAACAGAGGUCUACAACGUACCUCUGACUGAAUCCCUUCCUAUAUGUCCCUGUCAACAGAGGUCUACAACGUACCUCUGACUGAAUCCCUUCCUAUAUGUCCCUGUCAGAGGUCUACAACAUACCUCUGACUGAAUCCCUUCCUAUAUGUCCCUGUCAGAGGUCUACAACAUACCUCUGACUGAAUCCCUUCCUAUAUGUCCCUGUCAACAGAGGUCUACAACGUACCUCUGACUGAAUCCCUUCCUAUAUGUCCCUGUCAACAGAGGUCUACAACGUACCUCUGACUGAAUCCCUUCCUAUAUGUCCCUGUCAACAGAGGUCUACAACGUACCUCUGACUGAAUCCCUUCCUAUAUGUCCCUGUCAACAGAGGUCUACAACGUACCUCUGACUGAAUCCAGACCUAUAUGUCCCUGUCAACAGAGGUCUACAACGUACCUCUGACUGAAUCCCUUCCUAUAUGUCCCUGUCAACAGAGGUCUACAACGUACCUCUGACUGAAUCCAGACCUAUAUGUCCCUGUCAACAGAGGUCUACAACGUACCUCUGACUGAAUCCCUUCCUAUAUGUCCCUGUCAACAGAGGUCUACAACGUACCUCUGACUGAAUCCCUUCCUAUAUGUCCCUGUCAGAGGUCUACAACGUACCUCUGACUGAAUCCCUUCCUAUAUGUCCCUGUCAGAGGUCUACAACGUACCUCUGACUGAAUCCCUUCCUAUAUGUCCCUGUCAACAGAGGUCUACAACGUACCUCUGACUGAAUCCCUUCCUAUAUGUCCCUGUCAACAGAGGUCUACAACGUACCUCUGACUGAAUCCCUUCCUAUAUGUCCCUGUCAACAGAGGUCUACAACGUACCUCUGACUGAAUCCCUUCCUAUAUGUCCCUGUCAACAGAGGUCUACAACGUACCUCUGACUGAAUCCCUUCCUAUAUGUCCCUGUCAGAGGUCUACAACGUACCUCUGACUGAAUCCCUUCCUAUAUGUCCCUGUCAGAGGUCUACAACAUACCUCUGACUGAAUCCCUUCCUAUAUGUCCCUGUCAACAGAGGUCUACAACGUACCUCUGACUGAAUCCCUUCCUAUAGGUCCCUGUCAACAGAGGUCUACAACGUACCUCUGACUGAAUCCAGACCUAUAUGUCCCUGUCAGAGGUCUACAACGUACCUCUGACUGAAUCCCUUCCUAUAUGUCCCUGUCAGAGGUCUACAACGUACAUCUGACUGAAUCCCUUCCUAUAUGUCCCUGUCAACAGAGGUCUACAACGUACCUCUGACUGAAUCCCUUCCUAUAUGUCCCUGUCAGAGGUCUACAACGUACAUCUGACUGAAUCCCUUCCUAUAUGUCCCUGUCAACAGAGGUCUACAACGUACCUCUGACUGAAUCCCUUCCUAUAUGUCCCUGUCAACAGAGGUCUACAACGUACCUCUGACUGAAUCCCUUCCUAUAUGUCCCUGUCAACAGAGGUCUACAACGUACCUCUGACUGAAUCCCUUCCUAUAUGUCCCUGUCAGAGGUCUACAACGUACCUCUGACUGAAUCCAGACCUAUAUGUCCCUGUCAACAGAGGUCUACAACGUACCUCUGACUGAAUCCCUUCCUAUAUGUCCCUGUCAGAGGUCUACAACGUACCUCUGACUGAAUCCCUUCCUAUAUGUCCCUGUCAACAGAGGUCUACAACGUACCUCUGACUGAAUCCCUUCCUAUAUGUCCCUGUCAGAGGUCUACAACGUACCUCUGACUGAAUCCCUUCCUAUAUGUCCCUGUCAACAGAGGUCUACAACGUACCUCUGACUGAAUCCCUUCCUAUAUGUCCCUGUCAGAGGUCUACAACGUACCUCUGACUGAAUCCCUUCCUAUAUGUCCCUGUCAACAGAGGUCUACAACGUACCUCUGACUGAAUCCCUUCCUAUAUGUCCCUGUCAGAGGUCUACAACGUACCUCUGACUGAAUCCCUUCCUAUAUGUCCCUGUCAGAGGUCUACAACGUACCUCUGACUGAAUCCCUUCCUAUAUGUCCCUGUCAGAGGUCUACAACGUACCUCUGACUGAAUCCCUUCCUAUAUGUCCCUGUCAGAGGUCUACAACGUACCUCUGACUGAAUCCCUUCCUAUAGGUCCCUGUCAGAGGUCUACAACGUACCUCUGACUGAAUCCCUUCCUAUAUGUCCCUGUCAACAGAGGUCUACAACGUACCUCUGACUGAAUCCCUUCCUAUAUGUCCCUGUCAACAGAGGUCUACAACGUACCUCUGACUGAAUCCCUUCCUAUAUGUCCCUGUCAACAGAGGUCUACAACGUACCUCUGACUGAAUCCCUUCCUAUAUGUCCCUGUCAGAGGUCUACAACGUACCUCUGACUGAAUCCAGACCUAUAUGUCCCUGUCAACAGAGGUCUACAACGUACCUCUGACUGAAUCCCUUCCUAUAUGUCCCUGUCAGAGGUCUACAACGUACCUCUGACUGAAUCCCUUCCUAUAUGUCCCUGUCAGAGGUCUACAACGUACCUCUGACUGAAUCCCUUCCUAUAUGUCCCUGUCAGAGGUCUACAACGUACCUCUGACUGAAUCCCUUCCUAUAUGUCCCUGUCAGAGGUCUACAACGUACCUCUGACUGAAUCCCUUCCUAUAUGUCCCUGUCAACAGAGGUCUACAACGUACCUCUGACUGAAUCCCUUCCUAUAGGUCCCUGUCAGAGGUCUACAACGUACCUCUGACUGAAUCCAGACCUAUAUGUCCCUGUCAACAGAGGUCUACAACGUACCUCUGACUGAAUCCCUUCCUAUAUGUCCCUGUCAGAGGUCUACAACGUACCUCUGACUGAAUCCAGACCUAUAUGUCCCUGUCAGAGGUCUACAACGUACCUCUGACUGAAUCCCUUCCUAUAUGUCCCUGUCAACAGAGGUCUACAACGUACCUCUGACUGAAUCCCUUCCUAUAUGUCCCUGUCAGAGGUCUACAACGUACCUCUGACUGAAUCCCUUCCUAUAUGUCCCUGUCAGAGGUCUACAACGUACAUCUGACUGAAUCCCUUCCUAUAUGUCCCUGUCAACAGAGGUCUACAACGUACCUCUGACUGAAUCCCUUCCUAUAUGUCCCUGUCAGAGGUCUACAACGUACCUCUGACUGAAUCCCUUCCUAUAUGUCCCUGUCAGAGGUCUACAACGUACCUCUGACUGAAUCCCUUCCUAUAUGUCCCUGUCAACAGAGGUCUACAACGUACCUCUGACUGAAUCCCUUCCUAUAUGUCCCUGUCAAAAGUUUGGACACACUCAUUCCAGGGUUUUACUUUAUUUUUACUAUUUUCUACAUUGUAUAAUAAUAGUGAAGACAUCAAACUAUGAAAUAAUAUAUGGAAUCAUGUAGUAACCCUUUUUCUUCAUUAUUAUUCUACAAUGUAGAAAAUAGUAUAAAUUAAGAAACACCCUGGAAUGAGUAGGCGUGUCCAAACUUUUGAUUGGUUCUGUGUGAGUCAGUCAACCUGCAUGGCUCCAACCUUCUGUCCUCACCUUACCCUCCCACUGUCCUGACUGCCAUAGAGAUUUACUGCGUUUGCCCGAGCCAGGUGUAGAGUUGUUACAGCUGUCGGUCUUCAGUCCUGAUGAUGUUCACUGACCUCUUAGACAACCACUUAGUGUGUCCCAAACGGCAUCCCAUCGGUACUUCAACAGGGCAGCAUUCAGGACGGCUCAUCAGAGUUCUGAUGUGGUGUAGAGGAUGGGGGGUGUAGUUCCAUACAGGGCAGCAUUCAGGACGGCUCAUCAAAGAGUUCUGAUGUGGUGUAGAGGAUGGGGGGUGUAGUUCCAUACAGGGCAGCAUUCAGGACGGCUCAUCAGAGUUCUGAUGUGGUGUAGAGGAUGGGGGUGUAGUUCCAUACAGGGCAGCAUUCAGGACGGCUCAUCAGAGUUCUGAUGUGGUGUAGAGGAUGG